GCGUGAUCAACUGCCCUUUAAUUGGGGGCCUGACGAACGGAUUUUCGAAAGUCUAACUGUCUCCUUUUAAGACAUAGAAAUUAGCCCUCAGGUGAAAAUACCUGAAUUUACAUACAAGACAAAAAGACCCCGUAGAGCUCAGUUUUACCCGACAAAGAACCCUGUAUUAAACUAAAUACACACAGCUAUGCGUAAUAACUUAACUGGGACGGUUAAGGAAAAUCUAAACAUCCUCUUCAUAAAAUAACCCGGACACACCCCCACACAUGAUCGACCCCACAACAACGUUCAAAGGAAUAGCUACCUCGGGGAUAACAGACUAAUUUUUCUUGAGAGUUCGCAUUGACAGAAAAGUUUGGCACAUCGAUGUUGGCUUAGGAGAUCCCAAGGGUCAGUAGCAGCCCUUAUGAGCAGGUUUGUUCAACCUUUAAACCCC
rnacentral:rRNA from 1 species